UUUGCAGUUUUAAGACGGUUCCUUAACCCUCUGAGCAGAGGAUAGCACAUUUUUAGCUACAUUUCACCUCCAAAAAGUGAAUAUGACACCGAAUUGGAAAAACAAGGGGUUUAACUUAUUCACUGUCAUCAGCCGAUUUAGAAUAUUACAUUUAUAUAUUUGAUUUAUUUAUUUAUUUAACUAGGCAAGUCAGUUAAGAACAAAUUCUUAUUUACAACAACUACCUAGGAACAGUAGGUUAACUGCCUUGUUCAGGGGAGGAAUGACAGAUUUUUACCUUGUCAGCUCGGGGAUUCUAUCUAGCAACCUUUCGGUUACUGGCUCAACACUCUAACCACUAGGUUACCUGCCACCCCCGGUAGCCUAGUCAUCCUUGCAUGUUCCUUUGAAGAGAUAUUGAAGAGCAAAGUCUGAAUCUUUAAGUCGGAACUCCGACUGGGAAAACAACUUUUGAACGGUCAUCCAACUCGGAAUUCCAAGUCGGGAACUCGGGCCUCUUCCUUGUGCUCUGACCUGAAGAUCACUGACGUCAUGAUUCAACCUUGUUUUUUCCGAGUUCCCAGUUGUCUUGAAAGCACCAUAAAUCCAGAGAAUGCCAGACUUUGAUGACAAAUUUUGAUGACAAACCGCCGCUACACCUUCCUUUUCAAGAGAGCACAGCACAACAAGCUCUAGGCAGACAGCACGUCAGGAAUGCUGUAAGACAUCAGAGACAGAUGCCUGGCCUUUUCUUGUUCUUGGAGGUUGGCUCUGAUGUUUCAGCCUCUUCUGGAGCUUCUAGCUGCUGGCUGUCUGGC